rnacentral:tRNA from 1 species
ACCUGGGUGGCUCAGUGGGUUAAGCGUCUGACUUUGGCUCAGGUCAUGAUUUCACCAUCUGUGGGUUCGAGCCCCACAUUGGGCU